ACUGAAGGCGGGGCCACGUAGUUGGCCCGGACGAUGACCCGAAGCCUCCCGGACACGAGGGAGAACGUCUCUCCCGCGCGCGCAGGCGCCGCAUCCCGCCCCGCGCUCUCAAGCGUCCCUGGCAACGCCCCUCAAGUGAGGCGGGAUGGCGAGAAGAUGGAUGAGGCUGAAAGGAAUGUCAAGGAAUAUUUUCCUAUGAAUGGAAGGNAUAUUUUCCUAGAAUACAGCUCGCCAAUCCCGGCUUGCAUCGUUCAAUACUUUCGGAUUUC
rnacentral:misc_RNA from 1 species